rnacentral:rRNA from 1 species
GACGAACGCUGGCGGCGUGCUUAACACAUGCAAGUCGAACGGAAAGGCCCUGCUUUUGUGGGGUGCUCGAGUGGCGAACGGGUGAGUAACACGUGAGUAACCUGCCCUUGACUUUGGGAUAACUUCAGGAAACUGGGGCUAAUACCGGAUAGGAGCUCCUGCUGCAUGGUGGGGGUUGGAAAGUUUCGGCGGUUGGGGAUGGACUCGCGGCUUAUCAGCUUGUUGGUGUGGUAGUGGCUUACCAAGGCUUUGACGGGUAGCCGGCCUGAGAGGGUGACAGGCCCCAUUGGGACUGAGAUGCGACCCAGACUCCUACGGGGGGCAGCAGUGGGGAAUAUUGCACAAUGGGCGGAAGCCGGAUGCAGCAACGCCGCGUGCGGGAUGACGGCCUUCGGGUUGUAAACCGCUUUCGCCUGUGACGAAGCGUGAGUGACGGUAAUGGGUAAAGAAGCACCGGCUAACUACGUG